GACAGAUGAAAAACUGCGAUGCUCGUUCCACUCAGGACCGUCCUCUAGGGCAUCCACACUCACGAGCGGGUUAAGGUCUGAGCAUUCUAGUCAUUCUCGAUCGGUCCUAGCAGGAUCUGGCUGUAACCGGCCAAGCGGCGUAUCAGAAAUCCGACCACCCUCAUCCUUGCCCGAAGAUGCUUCGCCUUGUCGUGAAACGGAGGGUUAAUGUGGGAUCUGGCCUUGGAAUUCGCUGCAGUGAUUGGGUGGUGGGUUCACUGCUGGGCAUCUCGCUUGGCAGUCUUCGCCAUCCUUCAGCUCACUUCGCAGUGCAUGUACAACCUCUAUUCUCUAUGGAGGUUUCGUUGUAACUCGAUUCAGACUACUCUUCGUCUGUC
rnacentral:RNase_P_RNA from 2 species